GCAGUGGCACACACCUUUAAUCCCAGCACUAGGGAAGUGGAGACAGGAAGCAAUAUGGCUGGGCAGAAAGAGGAAUAUAAAGCAGGAGGAGACAGAAGCUGAGAGCCCUUUUGGACUUAGGAUUCAGUAGAGGUAUGCUGAAAGAGUUAUGGGACCAUAAAGGCCUCUACCAAGAUUACAGAAGAAAGCCUAGGAGGCCAUUAAAUGUGUAACAGUGUUGGUAUCCCCAUGGGCAGUCCCUAAAAGAAUGGUAUGUGAAGCUGUGACAGAAAAGGGGAAGAUGUAAUAGAGACCACAGGAGAUAAAAGAUGACUAGGAACAUGAAACCUCUGCCAAAGAAAGGAGCAGGCAGGUAGGAGCAGCCAGCCCAAGAGAAGGGUCUGGAAGGUAGCAAUGCCAAAGGGACAGGGUUACCCGCCUCUGAUCUUAUAUCACAAAAGCACAUGCCCACGGUGCCAGAAAGAGGCUACAGGAUUUAAGGUUCAUCCUUUUGCUACUGUCUUGUCCUCCCUUUUGGAAUGGGAUGGUACUGUGUACCAGUGCAGUUUGGAGGAAACAGAUCAGUGGAGUGUAUCCUCGGGGACUGCAUCUUAUCCCUGCACCUCACCUACCUCCCAAUCCCCCACAAGGUGGGCUGCUUUGUUUUCUUUCCCAUUGACACCCUACCAUGAUAUUCUACCUCACCACAGGCCAAAAACAAUGGAGCCAAUAGUUAUAGAUUGAAAUCUCUGAACCCACAAGCUAAAAUAAGCCCUUCUUCCCUUCAAAGCUGUUAGAACUAUUCUAGGUCCUUGGCAUUUCCAUAGUAAUUUUAUAAUAGGUUUGUCAAAAAACAAUAGGUUUUUUUUCUAUAAAAAUUUGUCUGGGAUUUUGAAUGAGAUUACAAUGAAGACACAGACCAGUUGGAGCUGACUUAACAUCCUAGAACAGAGUCCAUGCACAGCUAUUCUCCCACUUCCUUGUGCUAUUCAUGUUCUAUGAUUGUGAUUAUCUUCCCGCUAAACAUUGUGAUAUUGAUCACUUUCCUCAAGUCUACUAGACUCCAUAAUACUCAUCCCUACAAGAAUGAGUGUACAGAGCCCCCUGGCAGAAGGAUCUGGAUCCAUCCCUGGUGCAUGAGCAGGUUUUUUGGAGCCCACUACCUGUGAUGGGACACCUUGCACUGCCUUGAGACAGAGAACUACAGACAACGAAAGAAUGCUGAGAAUGGGAAAGCCGAGGUCUCGCCCGGGAAGAGCUCAUCAAGUGGCCGUCCAGUACACACAUACACGGAAAGGGAGGUUCUAUGGACCGAGCAGGUGGUGGUUCAUUUCAGGAACGAACACAUACACAAGUGUGUAUGUAACAAUUAAAGAAAAAGAGGCCAUGAAAUGAAGAGAGCAAGGAGGUUAUAUGGAAAGGCUUAA